rnacentral:lncRNA from 1 species
CCUGCCUGUCGCGGCCCGCGGGCAGCGCUUCGGGGCUGCUGCGCGGCGGCCUUGACCACCUUGGUAUAGCAGAGGAGGAAACGGAAGCUCAGACAGCCCGCUGGGCCGCUCCGAGCUCCGGGCUGGCUGCCGCGCGCUCCCGGUCUGCUGUUCCGCGGAGGGCACAACAAAGGGCCCCCCGGGCAGCCCGCUCAGAGACCGACUACUGAAACCCUCGGGCCAGGUUCUCGUUUUUGCUUUGUUUGGUUUUGGUUUUCUGGCGUCCUUAAACUCUGAGAUUUCUCCCGAUUCCGGUUCGAGACCUCCCGGGUUAAGUAAGAUGACACUCUGGCCCAGUCAAGAGCACCAUGGUGGAAACUGAAGGAAGAAAUAAAAGGAAGCGCUACUUUCUCAGCUCCUAUGUGAUAAUCUGAACCACAGUUGAUUGGCUGCCUGAGUGACCACCUUUGUUCUCGGGAACCUUUGUUCCCCUAAAUUAUGAAGCCAUAUCACCUGAGAACUGAUGGGAGACUUAAAGGUGAAAGCAGCGGCUGAAGCAGGUGGCAGUGCGUCUCUUGAGGGCAGCCACUGAUUGUAUUGCAGGAAAACCUUGGCUGAAUAAAAUUUCCCUCCCAAUUAAUUACAGGCCUGGCUUCUAUAACCCUGAAACACUUUGUUCGAAACCUGUGGGUUUCGACCCCUUUGGGUCCAAGGACCCCUUCAGAGGGGUUGCCAUAUCAGAUAUGCUGCAUAUCAGAAUAGCAGUAGCAAAAUUAGUUAUGAAGUAACAUUGAAAAUAACUUUAUGGGCGGGGUGGUGGUGGUGGUGCCCGCCUUUAAUCCCAGCCCUCGGGAGGCAGAGGCAGGCGGAUCUCUGUAAAAUCGAGCCCAGCCUGGUCUACUAGAGCUAGAUCCAGGACAGCCUCCAAAACCACAGAGAAACCCUGUCUUGAAAAACAAAACAAAACAAAAACAAAAACAAAAAAGAGGGCCCUCGUGGCCUGUUCCUGAGGUCACUUCAUAUAGCUUGUGCCACACUGAGGCUGCACAGACAGAGACUGGGAAACACUGCAGUCAGUUCCAGUUGACCCACAAAGAAGCAUGAAUGUAGCCAGGAUUUAAGAAAU